rnacentral:rRNA from 1 species
CAGUAGCCGCGGUAAUACGUAGGUCCCGAGCGUUGUCCGGAUUUAUUGGGCGUAAAGCGAGCGCAGGCGGUUAGAAAAGUCUGAAGUGAAAGGCAGUGGCUCAACCAUUGUAGGCUUUGGAAACUGUUUAACUUGAGUGCAGAAGGGGAGAGUGGAAUUCCAUGUGUAGCGGUGAAAUGCGUAGAUAUAUGGAGGAACACCGGUGGCGAAAGCGGCUCUCUGGUCUGUAACUGACGCUGAGGCUCGAAAGCGUGGGGAGCGAACAGGAUUAGAUACCCCCGUAGUCCCUGUCUCUUAUACA